AAUCCUCAAAAAGAAACCUUCUCAGGAGGGGCUUCUCUUUUGGAAUUGGGGUGUGCUGGCCUCUGUAUGAAGCCCCAGCUCCCCUGAAAUAUAUUAGCGAUGUGACAUCCACAUGCAUCACGCUUCCUUGGCAUUGAUAGUUAUUCAUGCCUAAGUUGCGCAGCAGCUGUGGAAAGGUUCGCUCGCUCACAAUUGAUGAUGUGGGUUUUACUCACCAUCCUCUGACCA
rnacentral:misc_RNA from 1 species